rnacentral:rRNA from 1 species
AUUGAACGCUGGCGGAAUGCUUUACACAUGCAAGUCGAACGGCAGCACGGACUUCGGUCUGGUGGCGAGUGGCGAACGGGUGAGUAAUGUAUCGGAACGUGCCCAGUCGUGGGGGAUAACGUAGUGAAAAUUACGCUAAUACCGCAUACGAUCUAUGGAUGAAAGCGGGGGAUCGCAAGACCUCGCGCGAUUGGAGCGGCCGAUAUCAGAUUAGGUAGUUGGUGGGGUAAAGGCCCACCAAGCCAACGAUCUGUAGCUGGUCUGAGAGGACGACCAGGCAACCUGGAACUGAGACACGGUCCAGACGCCUACGGGAGUGAGCGGUGGGGAAUUUUGGACAAUCGGCGAUAGCCUGAUCCAGCCAUGCCGGGUGCAGGAUGAAGGCCCUCGGGUUGUAAACUGCUUUUGUACAGAACGAAAAGGUUUCUACUAAUACUAGGAGCUCAUGACGGUACUGUAAGAAUAAGCACCGGCUAACUACGUGCCAGCCGCCGCAGUAA